GAUGAACGCUGGCGGCGUGCUUAACACAUGCAAGUCGAACGGAAAGGCCAGUGCUUGCACUGGUACUCGAGUGGCGAACGGGUGAGUAACACGUGGGUAAUCUGCCCUGCACUUCGGGAUAAGCCUGGGAAACUGGGUCUAAUACCGGAUAGGACAAUGGUUUGGAUGCCGUUGUGGAAAGUCUUUUCGGUGUGGGAUGAGCUCGCGGCCUAUCAGCUUGUUGGUGGGGUAAUGGCGUACCAAGGCGUCGACGGGUAGCCGGCCUGAGAGGGUGUACGGCCACAUUGGGCCUGAGAUACGGCCCAGACUCCUAAGGGAGGCAGCAGUGGGGAAUAUUGCACAAUGGGAGCAAGCGUGAUGCAGCGACGCCGCGUGGGGGAUGACGGCCUUCGGGUUGUAAACUCCUCUCGCUAGGGACGAAGCGUAUUUGUGACGGUACCUGGAGAAGAAGCACCGGCUAACUACGUG
rnacentral:rRNA from 1 species